rnacentral:rRNA from 1 species
UACGUAGGGGGCAAGCGUUGUCCGGAUUUAUUGGGCGUAAAGAGCGUGUAGGCGGCUUGGUAGGUCCGCUGUGAAAACUCGAGGCUCAACCUCGAGAUGCCGGCGGAAACCACUUGGCUAGAGUCCGGAAGAGGAGAGUGGAAUUCCUGGUGUAGCGGUGAAAUGCGCAGAUAUCAGGAAGAACACCUAUGGCGAAGGCAGCUCUCUGGGACGGUACUGACGCUGAGACGCGAAAGCGUGGGGAGCGAACAGG